AUUGAACGCUUGCGGCAGGCCUAACACAUGCACGUCGAGCGGAGCGGCGGACGGGUGAGUAAUGCCUAGGAAUCUGCCUGGUAGUGGGGGAUAACGUACGGAAACUGGCGCUAAUACCGCAUACUAUCAGAUGAGCCUAGGUCGGAUUAGCUAGUUGGUGGGGUAAAGGCAUACAAAGGCGACGAUCCGUAACUGGUCUGAGAGGAUGAUCAGUCAAACUGGAACUGAGACACGGUCCAGACUCCUACGGGAGGCAGCAGUGGGGAAUAUUGGACAAUGGGAGAAAGCCUGAUCCAGCCAUGCCGAGUGGGUGAAGAAGGUCUUCGGAUUGUAAAGCACUUUAAGUUGGGAGGCGUUACCAACAGAAUAAGCACCGGCUAACUUCGUGCCAGCAGCCGCGGUAAUUC
rnacentral:rRNA from 1 species